ACGGGAGGCAGCAGUGGGGAAUAUUGGACAAUGGGGGAAACCCUGAUCCAGCGACGCCGCGUGAGUGAAGAAGUAUUUCGGUAUGUAAAGCUCUAUCAGCAGGGAAGAAAAUGACGGUACCUGACUAAGAAGCCCCGGCUAAAUACGUGCCAGCAGCCGCGGUAAUACGUAUGGGGCAAGCGUUAUCCGGAUUUACUGGGUGUAAAGGGAGCGCAGGCGGCAAGGCAAGUCAGAAGUGAAAACCCGGGGCUCAACCCCGUGGAUUGCUUUUGAGACUGUUUAGCUAGAGUGCAGGAGGGGCAAGCGGAAUUCCUAGUGUAGCGGUGAAAUGCGUAGAUAUUAGGAAGAACACCGGUGGCGAAGGCGGCUUGCUGGACUGUAACUGACGCUGAGGCUCGAAGGCGUGGGGAGCAAACAGGAUUAGAUACCCUGGUA
rnacentral:rRNA from 1 species